rnacentral:lncRNA from 1 species
GGGCAUCAUGUUUUAAAAAAAAACCCGCUAAGUCAAAAACCAAAACGGAGUUGACUUAGGCAAAAGUUAGGGCAUCCCGAUGGACCAUAAUUCAAAAUAAUUGGUCCAUGCAAAAAUAGGGAUUAAAAAGCAAAAAAAAAAGAAAAAACAGAAACAAGCUUGUAAGUGAAAGUAGGUGACUGCCACCUCAAGAAUCUCAUCGGUGCUUGAACCAUUACCUCCAUCAUCAUUACUAUCAAAACUCUCUUGCAGAUUGAAAGAAUCGGUGCUUGAACCAUUACCUCCAUCAUCAUUACUAUCAAAACUCUCUUGCAGAUUGAAAGCAUUUGUUGAGUUAAUUGAAUUUAGGAAUGGAGAACAUCAAGGAGAAUGGGUGGGAUAAAAUUA